rnacentral:lncRNA from 1 species
UGGUGGGUGGUGCGGGGUACACAGAACAAAAAACCCAGAUUAAAGAAUGGUUUACUGGUAGAACUAAUGAAUUUUUCAACUAUCAAUAUAAUAUUAUUUCUCGUAACCUUGUAUGGAAAAUAUCCAAGUUUUCUGCCCAUGUAAUAAAAUCGGUCAAAAUCUCACAUGACAUAAAAGAUGAGAUACCAAACAAUAUUACAAUAGUCUAUU